rnacentral:rRNA from 1 species
GAUGAACGCUGGCGGCGUGCCUAAUACAUGCAAGUCGAGCGAAUGGAUUAAGAGCUUGCUCUUAUGAAGUUAGCGGCGGACGGGUGAGUAACACGUGGGUAACCUGCCCAUAAGACUGGGAUAACUCCGGGAAACCGGGGAUAAUACCGGAUAACAUUUUGAACCGCAUGGUUCGAAAGUGAAAGGCGGCUUCGGCUGUCACUUAUGGAUGCACCAGCGUCGCAUUAGCUAGUUGGUGAGGUAACGGCUCACCAAGGCAACGAUGCGUAGCCGAGCUGGGAGGGUGAUCGGCGAAACUGGGACUGAGACACGGCCCAGACUCCUACGGGAGGCAGCAGUAGGGAAUAUUCCGCAAUGGACGAAAGUCUGACGGAGCAACGCCGCGUGAGUGAUGAAGGCUUUCGGGUCGUAAAACUCUGUUGUUAGGGAAGAAUAAGUGCUAGUUGAAUAAGCUGACACCUUGACGGUACCUAACCAGAAAGCCACGGCUAACUACGUGCCAGCAGCCGCAGUAA